rnacentral:rRNA from 1 species
GAUGAACGCUGGCGGCGUGCUUAACACAUGCAAGUCGAACGAAGCAUUUGCGACAGAUUUUUUCGGAAUGAAGUUGCUUAUGACUGAGUGGCGGACGGGUGAGUAACGCGUGGGUAACCUGCCUUGUACUGGGGGAUAGCAGCUGGAAACGGCUGGUAAUACCGCAUAAGCGCACAAUGUUGCAUGACAUGGUGUGAAAAACUCCGGUGGUAUAAGAUGGACCCGCGUCUGAUUAGCUAGUUGGUGAGAUAACAGCCCACCAAGGCGACGAUCAGUAGCCGAGCUGAGAGCGUGACCGGCCACAUUGGGACUGAGACACGGACCAGACUCCUACGGGAGGCAGCAGUGGGGAAUAUUGCACAAUGGAGGAAACUCUGAUGCAGCGACGCCGCGGGAGUGAAGAAGUAAGUCGUUAUGUAAAGCUCGAUCAGCAGAGAAGAUAGUGACGGUACCUGACGAAGAAGCUCCGGCUAAAUACGUG